rnacentral:misc_RNA from 1 species
AAAAAUAUUAAAGAAAUAAAAAGCUCGACAUUCUCUUGUUCGAUUAUUCAUAGAUUGGGUGUGUGUAAUAGUUUCGUGGGAUUAAGAGAAAUUCAAUAAUUUUUUUCUGUAGGGAUUAAACUUUCAAUUUUCUUAACUUUUCGUGUGGGUGGGAUGAGAGGGAGGAAUGAUGGAUGAGCUUUUUCGUAAGAAAAUAAGUGGGGUGGUUUGGUUUCUGCUGUUUUAGGCUGUAUGUAUGUGGGAAGAACAACAAAUGUUAUUGUUCUUGGUUCUAUUGUUGCAACAGCAGCUUGCUGGAGCUGUUCACAGUAUACAUGUCCUGCUUUACUGUAACAGGCGGCACUUAGCUUUAGAAAU